rfam:Candidatus Yanofskybacteria bacterium RIFCSPHIGHO2_01_FTLL_41_21 rifcsphigho2_01_scaffold_1786, whole genome shotgun sequence.
GGGGGUGUGGUGGAGUGGUCAAUCACAACAGACUGUAAAUCUGUCGGCCGUGUGCCUUCGUAGGUUCGAAUCCUACCGCCCCCA